rnacentral:tRNA from 1 species
CGCGGGGUGGAGCAGCACGGUAGCUCGUCGGGCUCAUAACCCGAAGGUCGUCGGUUCAAAUCCGGCCCCCCGCAACCA